CACCCAGUAGCGCAAUGGAUAGCACAUUGGACCUCUGUUCCAAAGGUCGUGGGUUCGCGAAUCCCACCUGGGAUGG